rnacentral:lncRNA from 1 species
CAGGACCUACAGAUACAAGAAAAGGGAUUGUGCAGAAUAACAAAUGAUAACAUUCCAGUGUGUGUUAGUGCUCCAGCAGCUUCAAGAAGUGAAUGAAGUGAUUCUCCAAGAAAGCACAAGGUCUCAUGAAGAAAAGUGUUCUCAAGGCCAAUCAGCUCAGACUGAAUAAGGUUAUAUUUCCAGAGAACCUGUUGCAACACGGCGUACAGAGACCGCUGUCACUUUGGACUUACCAGGUUAUAUUUCCAGAGAACCUGUUGCAACACGGCGUACAGAGGCCGCUGUCACUUGGGAUUCACCAGUUACCAGUUACCAACCAAGGGAGAUGGAUAAUAGAUUUCCAGCCAUUAGUAUCAUAUCUGUGUAUUUAAUAAGCACCUAUCUGUGUGAUAUUCUAUGAU